rnacentral:rRNA from 1 species
AACUUUCAGCAACGGAUCUCUUGGCUCUCGCAUCGAUGAAGRACGCAGCGAAAUGCGAUAAGUAAUGUGAAUUGCAGAAUUCAGUGAAUCAUCGAAUCUUUGAACGCACCUUGCGCUCCUUGGUAUUCCGAGGAGCAUGCCUGUUUGAGUGUCA